rnacentral:rRNA from 1 species
GACGAACCGUGCGAACGUUGUUCGGAAUCACUGGGCUUAAAGGGCGCGUAGGCGGGCUAUCAAGUCCGGGGUGAAAUCCUCCAGCUCAACUGGAGAACGGCCUCGGAUACUGAUGGUCUCGAGGGGGAUAGGGGCACACGGAACUGUGGGUGGAGCGGUGAAAUGCGUUGAUAUCCAUAGGAACUCCGGUGGCGAAGGCGACCUUCUGGGCCGCAACUGACGCUGAGGCACGAAAGCGUGGGGAGCAAACAGG